AGUUGUCUUAACAGUCCUACAUGUACCUACUGAGCUUUCAUUGUUGCCCUGGUUCAGUGGUGGACGUUUGAACUGGAGUUAAAGACAGGAAUCAGCCUACUAACAGCGGGAUAAAAGAAGAGACCUGCACUGCAAUUUCUUCAGUGUUAAAUGCACACAGUGUUGGAGUCAAAAUAAUGCGGUCAAUGCCUCUGUGUGAACUGACUGCCAUUGAAUGCAACUCGACACCUUCCCCUAAAGGAUACACACCAGCGCCCGAUCUGGCCUUGUUUAGGGGCAGAUCAAAGGAGCCCAGGGAAGCUCCUCUGGGCAGCAGCAGGAGAAGGACUGGAAUUAAAAGUUACAAAGGAGAAGAGUGUGACAUUCCAGCUAGCUGCCCUUGUGGCUGCUCUACCCAUGCAGCACAUGAGUAGGAAAACAGCCGUGAGACAAGGAGUCAAGAGUGCCAGAGCUUUGCCCGCUAGUACUCAGAAGGUGCC